rnacentral:rRNA from 1 species
AUGUUGCAAGAUGAUCUUAGAAAAAUUGGAGGCAUGGAGAUUGUAGAAAUUAAGCUGGGAGACGGAUCACAACAGUACAUCGUGGCCUGGAAGAAUAAUCAGAAGCGUCGUGUUUUGGUGGAGUAUACACCAGUAAAUUCCGCAGAAAUUAUAAGAUGCAGCUGCAGAAGAAUGAUUCGAAAGGGUCUACCUUGCAAGCACAUAUUCCAUGUACUGAAGCACUUGAACAUAUUUGAAAUACCAAAGUGUUUAGUUCUUGUUCGGUUCACGAAAGAAGCAAGGUUGGGACUGCCCGCGAGGCGCACAAGCGACCUGUUGGGAUUUGGUUGGAUUGGGGCAGGGGAGAGAAUGGAAUAUAGCCAGCUCAGUGUGUUAGCGUCAGAAGCUAUGCAUGCGGCAUGCAAACACCCUGCUUUGUGGGAUCAGUUACAGGAGAGUUUGAAGGCUGUGAUAUCUAAGAGUCAUGAGUAUGAUCUGCUACAGGAAAGUUAG